rnacentral:tRNA from 1 species
GUUCUCGUGGUUAAAAAAAUUUUUAACGGUGGCUUUUCAAGCCACAGAUCUUGGAGAGAGGCCAAGCGGGAACU